GUGCGUGUGUGUGUGUGCGUUAUAAAGGGGGGGGGGCAUGUGUGGGAAGCCGUGUUGACUCAGUUUCAAUAAUGACUCUGGCAGAGCAGUGGAUGAACAGCUCACACUGACUGUAAAGAGCAGAGAGAGAGGCAAGGGGGCUGUGCUCUCCCUGGCAUCUCCAUCUCAUAACUCCUCUGUCGCUCAGUGUGUUCAUCAUACACACACACACACACACUCACACACACACACACACACACACACAUACAGACACAUACAUACACUGUGAAACCAACCCUGAGGACUACAGCACCAACAGUACAGUAUAAGACAGGACACUUCAGUGCAGCACGGGGCGGGACCGGCUUUCAGUCGGAGCAGCAAGUGUGAAAACGUCUCCAGGGAGGAAAUCAUCCAUCGUGUGAAUCGCCAUCCAGCAGGGAGAGGAGAAAAUACACAGGACGGCAGCAACAGCAACUUUUGGCUUCACUCAGCAUCCAGUUAGUAACAGGAGACAUGACACAUUUCCUCCCACAGUAUCAAGCAUCCUUUUUUCCUGUAUCCAACAUGUACUGUGCUGCAGGUUUAAGCCUGUUGUUGAGUGAAAUACUGCACUCAGAAACUGAUUUCAUCUGGUGACGUAGAUGUUUGUACCCAGUCUCUAGCACCAUAUGAAAUCAGUGUUCUGGGAGGUGGACUAUCAGCGUGUACAGACGCUGUACAUGAAUAAACUGAAAUAUGAUAUAUUCUUCUUGUGAGCCAAAAAGUAGGUCAUGUUUGUGUAAAUUACUGUACUCCCUGUGCUGCUUUAUCCACUAAACUGGUCACAGCUGCUGUCCUGCUUCUCGUUAUAGUUACUUUUCCCUUCUUUGUGCCCCUUAUAGCCUCAAAUAUACAUGUACUGUACAUUCCUGUGCUUGAUGUUGUUUGAAGCAUUUUGAACGUCUGGUAACACCUGAUGGCAUGCUUUUCAUCACAUUAUAGAGUUUCUCUACUUUUUUUUUCAACUGGAUGUAAAAUGUAUCAUUUAGAUUUUAUUAAAACAAGUGAGUGUAUGUAACAUACUUUACAUAUUUCUAAAAUACUGAAUUUUACCUGCAUUUUGUGGUAAUAAAAUUAUAAGAUUAUACAAAGUUUUUCUUGUGUCCUGAGUAAAUGUCCCAGCAGUAAGAAACAUUUAUCACAAUAAAGCUUCUCAGUGCAGCUACUGUAUGUUCACGUUACAUUCAUCUGAACCCUGUUGAACCUGGAGAUGAGGCUUUAUUUCUUCUGAAGAUUCACUCCAUCUGAAAUCAAAAUCACCUUACUCAAUUGUUGAUGGCACAAAUAAUCUCUCGAAGUUAAAUAUGUUUGAUCUUUUGAUUGUUUGUAUGAGAAAUGUCUAAAAGUCUUGUCACCUGUUGUGUCGAUGGAGCAAAUAAAGAACUCAUGAAACAUA